rnacentral:rRNA from 1 species
AUUGAACGCUGGCGGCAUGCCUUACACAUGCAAGUCGAACGGCAGCGCGGACCUCGGUCUGGCGGCGAGUGGCGAACGGGUGAGUAAUACAUCGGAACGUACCCUGUUGUGGGGGAUAACAAGUCGAAAGAUUAGCUAAUACCGCAUACGACCUGAGGGUGAAAGUGGGGGACCGCAAGGCCUCACGCAGCAGGAGCGGCCGAUGUCUGAUUAGCUAGGUGGUGGGGUAAAGGCCCACCAAGGCGACGAUCAGUAGCUGGUCUGAGAGGACGAUCAGCCACACUGGGACUGAGACACGGCCCAGACUCCUACGGGAGGCAGCAGGGGGGAAUUUUGGACAAUGGGGGCAACCCUGAUCCAGCAAUGCGGCGUGUGUGAAGAAGGCCUUCGGGUUGUAAAGCACUUUUGUCCGGAAAGAAAUCGCGCUGGUUAAUACCUGGCGUGGAUGACGGUACCGGAAGAAUAAGCACCGGCUAACUACGUGCCAGCCGCCGCCGUAA